UUUUGAAUUUCAUGCAAUUACCGCAGAUAGCAACUAUUAUUGCAUGGAAUGUGGGGAAGAUAUUGUAUUUUUUGUGUUUUAUCUUUGUUUCAAACAUUAUGACAUUAAUCGUGGGGAAGAUGUUGUAAAUUGGAUUUUCCUUGUGUAAUAUUUCUCUAAAAAAAAUCUAGUUAAAAUGAUACUAUGUUUUAUUAUUUCAAUUCAGUACAUGUAGCAUUUGAAUAUACAGUGUAUAAUGAACUUAUAUUGCACAUUAUAUCUGCCAACUUUAUCUUUAGUACUCUUUCUUCCUCUCUGUACUUCUAUCAGCUUUGACUUACUCUCUCCCUCUCUGCUCAUUGGCUAAUUCUUUCCCGCCUUUUUUGCUCAUUGGCUAAUUCUUUCCCGCCUUUUUUGGAGUAGCAGUAAUGCCAAUUCAUGUACCCCCUUUAGGGAUGCUUUUGUACUAUGAUGUGCACCAUUGCACUUUUAUUAUUAGCUAGGGAGAGAGUCCAGUGACUCAUGACACUGGCAGUAGCCAGGGCAUUCCCACUGCUUGUUGUUGAGGAGGAGACUUGUCCCUACAGAAGGAAGUUUAAUUUUGAAGUAGAGAAGACUUCUGCAAGGACUUCCCUUGAUGUACAAUUUUACUUUAGAUGUUGAAGCAAAAUGCAGAAUUAGUGUCUGACCGAGGCUGUUUUCCUUUGGUGAAUAAAAGAGUUCAAUGAAACCGCAGCCCUCGUGAGUCGUGUCAGUGUUGUGGUCGUCGGCGCGAACCCUUUCA